UGUUUGUUUGUUUUUCCUCUUCAUAAUCAAAAUAAAUCAACGGAUAUUUUAUGCAGAUGACACAAGGACUGAAGAAUUUGCAACAGACGACUUAGGGUGCAUUCAUAUCUUGAGUAUUGAGGAUUGAUUGGAAGAAAUGGAAUCCACCUGAGUGAGAAGGGUUCACAGACAACGAUCAAGGUCAGAUUCAGCCAAGUGAUUGUGUCAGGUUGUUGGUGUCAAGACAGGGCUGAGGUCAGGCCAGGACUUCAGCCCACAGCUCAGGAUCACUGUCUGAAUAAAUGAGAUAAGUGACUCAGUCACAGGGCUGGGAGCCUGGAGUUAGUCCCAGCUGAAAGCAGUUCCAUAGACAGACCAGCCACAGCCUACCUGCUGGGUGUCUGGGAGCCUCCACUGAAGCCUUUGCUAGAUUGUUCUUUCAAAGACAUCAUUGUGCCAUCUCCAAAUUGGCCAUGAACCCCAGCAGAAAAUUCACCAGAGGAGGGAUAUUCUCACAGCCAUUCCCGGUUUCAUCAAAGACCCCAAGACAGAGCUUACAGCAUGGGUUCUGAGGGUGUUGUGAUGAGUUGCUGGCAUUCUCUCAGCUCUCUGGGAGUGAGAUGUUAAUUAGAGGGUUGUUUUCCUCCUUUUUGUCAGGAAAAACACAUUCUUGAAAGUGAUAGUUUUUCUCCUUGCUCUAGGUUCUGCAUAGGACCAUUUUUGUGUGUUUUCUAACAACCUUUAUCCUUUGCUCUUUCUUUACUUUUCUGUAACUGUGUACUAUAUAUGACUUUACCAUAAACGAUGUGCUGUGCAUAUGAUGGAUGCACUUUCUUCUUUCUGUUAUCCCUAAAAUCUGUUUUGAUCAGCUUCUACGUUUUCAUUAGUAGUGGUAAUGUCCACUGAGGAGCUGUUGAUAUCCUUAUUAAGGCCAGUAUGAUAUUGAGUAUCCACAUCCUUCAGGCUUCUGCUAUCACCCCUGUUCUAUUCUCCUAGAUGCUUCAUGAUUAUUAUCGGGUCAUGGAUCACUCAUUAUCCACAGCAUUACUAAUUGUUUCUUUCUAUGUAGAAAUUCUCAAAAAUAUUAUAACACAGACUCAUGUAAAGCCAAACAAAAUAAAAAUUAAUUAAGUAAGAGCCACUUGGUCAUUAGAUAAUUGCUCUUUCAGCUUAACUGAUUAAAGCAAAGCUCCAAGCAAGUGAAGAUUGAGUCCCAAAAAGGCAAGUCUAACAGCCCAGCCUGAAGCUUUGCAAAGCUAGUAAGAAUUCUUAUUACCAAUGGCAAUACUGUCUUUGCAGUGCCGUAGCUAUUUUUUAACUAAAAACUUACAGUAAAAAAUUAGCAUUCUUGCUCAUACUUUCCAAGUUUAGAUAGAAUCACUUAACCUGUCAUUUACUGUCUGGGAAGUUGGUGUUAAGGCAGUAGU